rnacentral:rRNA from 1 species
UACGGGGGGGGCAAGCGUUGUUCGGAAUUACUGGGCGUAAAGGGCUCGUAGGCGGCCAACUAAGUCAGACGUGAAAUCCCUCGGCUUAACCGGGGAACUGCGUCUGAUACUGGAUGGCUUGAAUCCGGGAGAGGGAUGCGGAAUUCCAGGUGUAGCGGUGAAAUGCGUAGAUAUCUGGAGGAACACCGGUGGCGAAGGCGGCAUCCUGGACCGGCAUUGACGCUGAGGAGCGAAAGCCAGGGGAGCAAACUGG